GAUAUACUUAACUGCAACAUUCUGUAGAGUUACAUGAGGAUCAGGAAAGCAAGGAUCCCAGUCUCUCUGUGGAAUAGAUCUGUGGUUUAGAGUUAUGUUUUAUGCUGAAGGAUCCUCAAUUAAAAUUUCUACUCAAAAUUUUGAGGCUCAGACGUAACAGGGAUAAAACUAAAUGAAAUCCUAAUUUUAUAAAACCUACUGACUUGUAAAAUGUUAAACAUAAUUAAGACAAGCAAGUUAAUGGUCUUAUAAGUAAUCGAAUUCUUUCACAUGCUCAGAAUCAUGCUUGUAGUUAUCCUAAGUACAAAUGUAAUUCAUUUACAGAGACAAGCUUUAGUCUUCUGUAUAUGCUAUCAUAUAUGCUACCAAGGUUCCUGAAGAAUGUAACUAAAAACAAAAAAAGUUUGUUUGGAAUCAGAUAUACAGAGCAGAUUAGAUGAUGACCUUCAAACCUCUCAGUGAUAUGCUAAGUGUGGCCUUUGACAGCAGCAGCUAAAGCUAUCUCCAGAGAAGACUCCACCUGGAAAUGCUAGCACUGAACAAAGAGCUGCCCCAUACCUUGUCUGCCACCAGGGCUUUCCCCAAAACUAUGGACACUUUUGAGUUAACUGACCUACUCUGCCUUAUCAAACUAGGUCAGUUUUCCUGAGUCCCUCCACCACAGAAAAAUCUCUCAGACCUUUUGGGUCUGGCAGCUGAAGAGUUAAUGCUGCCCUGUAUGUCAGCCAAAGACUUAAAUGCUGCCCCAAGUGAAGCCAAAGACUGAAGAUCUCUACCCCAGCGAGGCCAUAGAGAUUGCCGUAGAAGAGCCAGGAUCGCUGUCCAGACAGAGUAUACCAUCCAGGGAUCAACUGCAGCCUGCAAACUGCUCUAACGUGACCUACAACAUUGUCCUGCAGAACCAGUGAGCCCUGGACUUGCUGAGAGGCAGAUGUAAACCAGGACAUCUUGUCGGGGACCGGACUGCCGGACUAAGCAAAGCUAGUGCCCUGCCCUGAGCAGAUUCCUGAGAAGGGCUUGACCUUUUCAAAGAAAGAACAUGUCCCCAAGACUGCUGCCUCUUUGUCUAAGGAGGAUAUCUUGCAAUUUAAUGAUUCACCUUAUGUCCUUGGGCACUUCCCAGUACUCCCCCUGCCCUAAGCUUCGAUUCCUGCUUCAGAGUUUAAAUGCUGUACAUUCCUCUCAAUAAACAGACCUUGACAAGGA
ensembl:lncRNA